rnacentral:misc_RNA from 1 species
AGGUCAAUAGUGUUUGGCUCGUACCUGUUGGCAUACAAGUCAGCACACUCUUACCAGGUUAGACAGGCAAGAAAGACAGAUGAUUGUUCAUCAUACAAUAAUAUUUAACAAUUUUUUGCAGAUUCAGUAACAGCUAUUUGACUAAAUGGGGUACCAAAAAAGUGGAGCAAAUAAUGCCCAACUUUUCUACAUAAUGCUUUUGCUACCCAAAAUGUUGGCAGCUACAUGUUAAAGGGAUACAAUUGAAUGGCAUGAUCAGAGUCCGAACAUUUUGUACCAUUCAGUAGUAUGAUCAAGUUAUUUGGAUUGAUGCAGGAAAUUAUCUAU